rnacentral:misc_RNA from 1 species
GGAAAUGCAAGUCGUAAGUCUUCAGAAACCGCGUUGGGAGACGAAGAACAGCAUCAACCGCCAAUAACAGCCUUCUUUAUUUCUGUGAACUUUUGGGAUCUUCAAAGUAUUGCUUAUCAUGGGAGACGUGAAGGACAAGGUCAAGGGUUUCAUGAAAAGGUUUAAUAAUACGCUGUCCUCAUCUUCUUCUUCGUCAAGUUUCAAGGGCCAGGGAAGAGUUUUAGGAUCGUCUUCUUCUGGGUCGACUAGUUC